GAUUUCAACUGAAAAAGUCAUCAACAACAAUGUUGUAUAACUCAUCAAGAUCUAUAACUUUUAUUUGGGUCAUUUCUUCAUUCAUCGAAGUGAUUUGUAACAUUGUUCACAAAAUCUACAUCUCUUUUAUUGUUUAACAAUAAGAGAGAUGUAGAUUUUGUGAACAAUGUUACAAAUCACUUCGUCGGAUGAAGAAAUGAUCAAAAUAAAAGUUAUAUAUAUUGAUGAGUUAUACAACUUUAUUAUUGAUGACUUUUUGAGUUGAAAUC
rnacentral:pre_miRNA from 1 species